UAGGGAAUCUUCGGCAAUGGGGGCAAUCCUGACCGAGCAACGCCGCGUGAGUGAAGAAGGUUUUCGGAUCGUAAAGCUCUGUUGUAAGAGAAGAACGUGUGUGAGAGUGGAAAGUUCACACAGUGACGGUAACUUACCAGAAAGGGACGGCUAACUACGUGCCAGCAGCCGCGGUAAUACGUAGGUCCCGAGCGUUGUCCGGAUUUAUUGGGCGUAAAGCGAGCGCAGGCGGUUUAAUAAGUCUGAAGUUAAAGGCAGUGGCUUAACCAUUGUUCGCUUUAGAAACUGUUAAACUUGAGUGCAGAAGGGGAGGGUGAAAUUCCAUGUGUAGCAGUGAAAUGCGUAGAUAUAUGGAGGAACACCGGUGGCGAAAGCGGCUCUCUGGUCUGUAACUGACGCUGAGGCUCGAAAGCGUGGGGAGCAAACAGG
rnacentral:rRNA from 1 species